rnacentral:lncRNA from 1 species
CCUGAUUCCACUCUCCCACCCUCCCAGAGCUUAACUGGCUGUAGACAUGAUGGCUGAAACUUCAAUGCUGAGCAAUUUGAAGAAGAGGCAACCUUGAAGAUGAAAGCCACUUACUUACUGAUGGUGGCAGUACAGAAAAAGCAGAUGCCUGGGCUCCUGAAUGCUGUUCACCCCUAUGCCAUCCCUGCACCCUCUUUAGCUGCAUGAGAGGGAAAAUACCUGAUUUGAUGUAUUUUCACCAUGGUUCUUAUUAGAUGGUGUGGUGAGGCUCUCUAUUCUGCACUGAAUACUCUCUACAAGUCAUACAAUGAGAAAUAUGGUCAUCUGAGUAUGAACAAAUAUCUCCAAAGCUUUGGUUUCUUGACUAGAAUGGGAAACAACCACUUCUAAGGGGAAACUCCUGUGAAGGGGGAAAGCAAAAAUCCAGCCAUGGUGACCUCUGAGUGCAUUUUAGACAUACUAGCUCUGUUCCCCAUUUUCCAACAGAUUUAUAACAUUCCAGCUCACUUGGGGUUCUAGUUCACCUUUGUGCUCCAGAAAGGAGAACUGCAUAGCUGUGGAGAAUUGCUGGGAGCUAGCUAAAUGGUCUUUGGCUUCCUAUAUUCCAUAGAAUUAGUUAACUUGUUUCAUUAUGAUAAAAUACCAAAUAGAAGCAAUUUACAGGAAGAAGGAUUGAUUCCAGCUCACAGUUAUAAAGAGAGUCCAUCCACUGUGGUGAAGAAAUCAUGAUAGUUAGAUAUCUCCAUCUGGGCAUUAGGAGGUUGGGGCAUGCUUGUUCACAUCUUGAUGGAUCAAGAAGCAGAGGAAAUGGAACCACAAGUGAUACUGGGGCAUGACUGUUAAAGGCACACCCUGUGUGCCCCACUCUGUUAGCCAGUCCCUGUAACAUCCCCAGGUUAACCCCCCCCAAAAUUUGGUGACAAGGUGUUAAAAUAUGAACCAAGCUCCAGGAGCAUUUUGAGUCCAAGUCUUACUAUCCUGCUCCAGCCUCCACAGGCUCAUACAGGAAUAUGAAUAAAAAUCAGCUUCAAGAGACAAAAUAGUUUUGACAGCCCCAACACUUCAAAGUCCAAAGUUCAAAAUCUCUUUGAUACUCAAAGAAAACUCAACAAAAUAGUGAGUUACAUCCUCUCAAUGUACAAUGGCAUAGAAUAAACAUUCUCAUCAAAGAGAGAAACAGGAGGAUAGCAAAGAAAAAGGACUAAAGCAAGACCAAAAAGUUAGCAUGGUACACAGUCAACCCUGUAACUCCAUGAGUAGCAUAGUGUAAUGUGCACUCUAGUGGGCUUGGAACCCUAUCCCUAUCGCUCUGCCACCUAGAGCACACAGAGACUCCCUCUUAGGCUCAUUUCAUUCAGUGCUUGAAGCUUUUCUUAGAAAAUACCCUCACAUUCCUAGAAUCUCUUACUUAGGCUACCCUAUUCAAGCAAGGGGUUUCAGCACUCUCCUUUCAAAUUAAGGUCCUUCAAGUGUUUUUUUUCAGUACUAUUAUUGGAGCAUUCAGUGGUAGGGUCUUUCCCAUAAGCCAUUUUUUCUUAUGUUCUAGUGCAAAAAGCUUAUUUUUUUCGCUAAUGGUUUGUCCACACCCACUUUGCCCACAAUUUUAAGUAUAUUCAUGCUCCUUCCCAUAUCAAAUUCCAUGUUUUUUAUAUCUCUAUGCUAUGUGGUUUUUAUUCUGGAUACGCAGUGUAAAUCUGACUAAAAGCAGCAAGAAACAACCAUGCCACUUCUUGGCUACUUUGCUUUCUUGAAAUUUCUUCUACAAAUAAAUUAGUCCAUUAUUUUAAAAAUCAUCCUCAUUUGGAUUUUCAGUACAGGACCAAAAUACAUCCAGAUUAUUUGGCAAAACGUAACAUAAAUGGCUCUAGUCAAUUCCAACCGAGUCUUUGUUUCUCUGAGAAACCACAUGAGCACAAUCUUUGCUAUCUGCAUUUCCACUAAAUCUCACCAUAAAAUCCCAUUGCUAUCUUC